CGCGUAGGCGGUCUUGUCGGUCAGAUGUGAAAGCCCAGGGCUCAACCCUGGACGUGCAUUUGAAACAGCAAGACUUGAGUACGGGAGAGGAAAGCGGAAUUCCUGGUGUAGAGGUGAAAUUCGUAGAUAUCAGGAGGAACACCGAUGGCGAAGGCAGCUUUCUGGACUGAUACUGACGCUGAGGCGCGAAGGCGUGGGUAGCGAACAGGAUUAGAUACCCUGGUAGUCC
rnacentral:rRNA from 1 species